rnacentral:snRNA from 1 species
GCCCCCUUUAAAGACAUUCGAUAAAAUUGAAACGAUAUAGCGAAGAUUAACAUGACUGCUGUGCAAAGAUGACGCGUGAAAAUCAUCAGUCACCUCCUUUGGAAAUAUUU